UACGUAGGCAGCAAGCGUUGUUCGGAAUUACUGGGCGUAAAGAGUGUGUAGGCGGUGCUCUAAGUUCGGUGUGAAAUCUCCCGGCUCAACCUGGGAAGUGCGCGCGAAACUGGCGACCUUGAGUGCUGGAGAGGGUGGCGGAAUUCCCGGUGUAGAGGUGAAAUUCGUAGAUAUCGGGAGGAACACCAGAGGCGAAGGCGGCCACCUGGACAGACACUGACGCUGAGACGCGAAAGCGUGGGGAGCAAACAGG
rnacentral:rRNA from 1 species